GCACACUGUUCUACACUCCUGGUCAUCAACUUCUCAUCUUUUAGGUUUCUGGGUCAUGACUUUCCAUGUUCUGUUUUGAUUUCCUUUCUUUAACCCUCUACUCCGGCCAGAAUGUAUACUUCCUUCUACACUUUGUGGUCAGCUUAGCCUUCUAUCUCAGCCCCUGAAAUACAGAACUUCAGGUCGGUAUUCACAUGGGUAUCUCCUUCUAGACUGUGAGCUCCUUCAAGGCAAGCACCAUUUCUCUUUGUCUUGUUCAUUGUUUUACUUCAGAACCUGGCAGAGAACCUUGUAAUCACUCAGUGGGAAGGAAGGAAGGAAGGAAGGAAGGAAGGAAGGAAGGAAGGAAGGAAAGGAAAGGGACUGAAGGUGUAUAUCACUUUAUUUAUGUUGCAAUUUACAUGUGCUCCUAAUACACAAAUAAAUGAUGUCUACCCACCAGUCAACCAAAAUUUAUGUUGGAAACAUUUCUUUAACUACAAUUCACUAAAACUACUCUAUAUCUUAAGCAGCCUUUGGUAAAAGGUGGCACCAUUCUUAUUAUUUCUGUGAUUUUCCCUAGGCUCCAUCCUGUCCCUGGGAAGCCUCUACUUCUGAAGGCUGCAGCUGUUAAUACCAGAACUUGAUGAGGAAGAUGCCAGAAUCCCAUCUGGAAUUCACAAAGCCCUGGCCAGCCCACUCACAAAGGGUACUACGUUGCAAAGAAUUUGAAAUAACUGAUUUCAUCAAACCAAAGAGACAAAAGAUGAAGAAGAAAUCAUCCUUGCCUUUAACACUCUUACUGUCUAGGGGGUAAAGAAGAAGAGUAAAAAAAAAAAUGAUUGCAGACCAGUAUGGAACAUGCUGCUAAAGGCCCCCGGGGUGAUGAGCAAAGGAGUAGAACACUCAGGAGAGGCUGCCUGGAGAAGAGGGUAUCUGAGUUAAGGUUUGAAGAAUAGCAGAAAUUUGCCUAGAGAGCAGGCCUGAGCUAAGGGGUAGUGGGAACAUACCACAUAAUAUAGAAGCAUGAAAAAAGUCACAGAUUUGAACGUGCACAGGGUGUGUGUGUGUGUGUGUGAUAUGUGUGUAGGGGAUAGGGGUAGGAAUGGGUAUAAUAUAGAUAAGAAUAGGCAAAACAGGGUCACCACACUACACAAUCAUAGGGUUCUCUGAUUAAAAAGGCUUUAGUUCCCACUGCAGCAUCUGCAUGGCCAAAGGUGCCUGAGGCACAAAACAUGGAGGUUGAAAUGGUAGGAGGUGAUGUAGGUAGAAAUUAGAUCAUCUUGAAUUUUUUUCUUUAAGGUCUUAUUUAUUUUUUCAUGAGAGACACAGAAAGAGAGAGAGGCAGAGGAAGAAGCAGGCUCCAUGCAGGGAGCCUGAUGUGGGACUCGAUCCCGGGACUCCGGGAUCACGCCCUGAGUGGAAGGCAGACACUCAACCGCUGAGCCAUCCAGGUGCCCCAGAUCAUCAAGAAUUUUUAAUGACGUGAUAAAGAGUUGGCCUUGGGCAAUCAAGCUAUAGGCAAUGCUGGAUUUCCCAAUGAGAAGAUCAAGCAUAUGCUUAAAAUAUCAAUGAAUCAGAAGAGCAAUACUUUUAUUUUGAAGUGAUUUAUAAAUUUUUAAGUGGAAAAGUAAUUAUUUUAGGAGAAAAAGUCCCCAAACAUUGGGGACUUGCUUAUAUUUAUUUAAUGUUUUAGUAUUGUUUUUGUUUUUGAAUUACAUAUAACAGGAUGGGGGGUAGGUAGGAGGCAGUAUAAUCAUUUCCAUGUUUUGGACAACUCAGGGUUUUCUGACCUUGUUAUUGAUGAUAUAUAGCUUUUGAAAUGUAUUAACAUGAGAGAAUAAAGGAGGGAGAACCUUGGUGACUAGGGUUAGA
rnacentral:lncRNA from 12 species